GUCUACGGCCAUGCUACCCUGAACAAGCCCGAUCUCAUCUGAUCUCGGAAGCUAAGCAGGGUCGGGCCUGCUUAGUACUUGGAUGGGAGACAAUUUAGGAAGACCAGGUGCUGUAGGUG
rnacentral:rRNA from 1 species